UACGGGAGGCAGCAGUGGGGAAUUUUGGACAAUGGGGGCAACCCUGAUCCAGCCAUGCCGCGUGAGUGAAGAAGGCCUUCGGGUUGUAAAGCUCUUUCUUCCGGGAAGAAAUCGCACCAGUUAAUACCCGGUGUGGAUGACGGUACCCGAAGAAGAAACACCGGCUAACUACGUGCCAGCCGCCGCGGUAAUAUAUAGGGUGCGAGCGUUUUUUGGAAUUACUGGGGGUAAAGCGUGCGCAGGCGGGUUUAUAAGACAGAUGUGAAAUCCCCGGGCUUAACCUGGGAAAUGCGUUUGUGACUGUACGGCUUGAGUGUGGCAGAGGGGGGUGGAAUUCCACGUGUAGCGGUGAAAUGCGUAGAGAUGUGGAGGAACACCCAUGGGGAAGGCAGCCCCCUGGGUCGACACUGACGCUCAUGCACGAAAGCGUGGGGAGCAAACAGGAUUAGAUACCCUGGUAGUCCACGCCCUCAACGAUGGGAAAUAGGUGUUGGGGAAGGAGACUUCUUCAGUACCGUAGCUAACGCGUAAGUG
rnacentral:rRNA from 1 species